ACGCUUCACUAGGGGUGCCUUUACGUAAUGGCUGAGAUCCAUGUGAGACAUGGAGACCCUUUGAACCUGAACUGGGGUAAGAACCAGCGGAGGAAAGUGACAUGACUAGUGU
rnacentral:ncRNA from 1 species